GCAGGGAAUCUUGCACAAUGGGCGAAAGCCUGAUGCAGCGACGCCGCGUGAGGGACGAAGGCCUUCGGGUCGUAAACCUCUUUUCUCAGGGAAGAGCAAGGACGGUACCUGAGGAAUAAGCCACGGCUAACUACGUGCCAGCAGCCGCGGUAAUACGUAGGUGGCGAGCGUUGUCCGGAAUUACUGGGCGUAAAGGGUCCGUAGGCGGUCCGGAAAGUCUUUUGUGAAAUCUCCCGGCUUAACUGGGAGAGGUCGAGAGAUACUACCGGACUUGAGGGCGUCAGAGGGAGACGGAAUUCCCGGUGUAGUGGUGAAAUGCGUAGAUAUCGGGAGGAACACCAGUGGCGAAGGCGGUCUCCUGGGGCGUCCCUGACGCUGAGGGACGAAAGCGUGGGUAGCAAACCGG
rnacentral:rRNA from 1 species